AUGUCACAGAGAGUCAGACAGGAAGACCACUGAAAACUCAUGAGGUUGAUAGGUUGGAGGUGUAAGUACAGUAAUGUAUUCAGCUGACCAAUACUAAUAGGUCGAGGGCUUGAUCAAAUU
rnacentral:rRNA from 1 species